GCCCUGUAGAUCAUCUCUGCCUGUACAUCUUAUACUACUCAUUUCAUAAAGGAUCACCACAUGGGCCAGGUCCCUUGUCCAGCACUGCUCCUGGGAUGGACUUGACUGAGUGGGAGCAGUCUCUGUGGGUGAGCAGCCUUCAGACUGGAAGCAUCCAGGGGGAGAAAGCUAUAUGGAUGUUUUUCGCACGUGUUUAUCAUCAACAAUUACAUCUGCCAGGCAUGCCAGCAGGAGCUGAAUCUCAGAAGGAGGGGACCAGGGCACAGGCAACCACAUUUUAGCAAGCUGAACCCCACAAAGGAGACCACAUUUUGAAAGAUCUGGGACAAACAUGGUAUCACCAGGGAAUUCCAGCUACAGAGCGAAAGGAUUUUUCAAGACACUCAGCAAGCUUAGUGUCCUAGCCGGGGACCACAGCUGGUGCUUCCCGGAUUCUGUCUUUGCUGUUCAUCCCAUCCCAGGAGGACCCUGCUGACAUGUGAUGACAGAAACCCAGGCAGUAGAAGGCUGUCUUGUUCUGACAGCCUGCCCCUCCCCCAGCCGGUCAGCUCUCUGAAACUGUGUGGUAUUUAUCUCCCCGAUAUUAUCCCUCUUCUGUGUUUCUAAAUGUUUCAUUUCUGGCUCAUUAAAAAUGAAGGAAAGGAAAUGCCAGACAACUUCCCAAGGCAGAAAAUGUCCAAACAAUGCCAGUUAAUUUCCUCCGAACAAAAUUAAUUGCGCACCUUUUAUUUAAGUCUUUGGAAGAUAUUGGUAUGGGGAUCAGGGCUGCCAGGGAGGACACUUUUCUGCCUCAGAGAAGCUACAGAGAGCUGGGCACCUAUAGUGCUGUCACUGCCUCUUUCUUUGGGUCAUAGGGUCUGGCUCCCUCUUGGCUUAGUAGAACCUUUACAAUUCCCUCCGCACUUGGGACCUAUCCCAGCAUCCCCAAGAGAUUGUAUUGUCCUAUGCUUCUUAUCCCCAGCCCUAGUACCCACCAAAGACUCCAGAAGGCUCAGUUUGCCAGUCUUCUGGAGUAACCCUCCU